rnacentral:rRNA from 1 species
CACGUAGGGUGCGAGCGUUGUCCGGAAUUAUUGGGCGUAAAGAGCUCGUAGGCGGUGUGUCGCGUCGGCCGUGAAAACCUGCAGCUUAACUGUGGGCUUGCGGUCGAUACGGGCAUCACUGGAGUUCGGCAGGGGAGACUGGAAUCCUGGUGUAGCGGUGAAAUGCGCAGAUAUCAGGAGGAACACCGGUGGCGAAGGCGGGUCUCUGGGCCGAUACUGACGCUGAGGAGCGAAAGCGUGGGGAGCGAACAGGG